rnacentral:rRNA from 1 species
GACAGAGGGUGCGAACGUUGUUCGGAAUUACUGGGCGUAAAGCGCAUGUAGGCGGCAACGCAAGUCGGGCGUGAAAUCCCACGGCUCAACCGUGGAAGUGCACUCGAAACUGCGUAGCUAGAGUCCUGGAGAGGAAGGUGGAAUGCUUGGUGUAGAGGUGAAAUUCGUAGAUAUCAAGCGGAACACCGGUGGCGAAGGCGGCCUUCUGGACAGUGGCUGACGCUGAGGCGCGACAGCGUGGGGAGCGAACAGG